rnacentral:rRNA from 1 species
AACGAACGCUGGCGGCAUGCCUAACACAUGCAAGUCGAACGAGACCUUCGGGUCUAGUGGCGCACGGGUGCGUAACGCGUGGGAACCUGCCCUUUGGUUCGGAAUAACUCCCCGAAAGGGGUGCUAAUACCGGAUAAUGUCUUCGGACCAAAGAUUUAUCGCCUUUGGAUGGGCCCGCGUUGGAUUAGCUAGUUGGUAGGGUAAAAGCCUACCAAGGCGACGAUCCAUAGCUGGUCUGAGAGGAUGAUCAGUCACACUGGGACUGAGACACGGCCCAGACUCCUACGGGAGGCAGCAGUGGGGAAUAUUGGACAAUGGGCGAAAGCCUGAUCCAGCAAUGCCGCGUGAGUGAUGAAGGCCUUAGGGUUGUAAAGCUCUUUUACCCGGGAUGAUAAUGACAGUACCGGGAGAAUAAGCUCCGGCUAACUCCGUG